GUGAGGGACUUACUUCUUUGCUGUGGACACGUGUGAGGAGAAAACUUCUGGAAACAGAUCAGACUCGGCCAAACAAGCACGAACAGUAAAUUCCGAAUCAAUCGGGCUGGUCAUAGCGAUACUCUGCUUGGUGAUUUCUCUGAUUGGAAAUGUUUCUCUCAUUUGCUUCCAAACUCCGAGAGAAGAAAGUGAACAAUCUAAAGCUGCUGUCGUCCUGCAAUUAAACAGCGAGAGGGUGAAAAA